GACGAACGCUGGCGGCGUGCUUAACACAUGCAAGUCGAACGGAAAGGCCCUGCUUUUGUGGGGUGCUUGAGUGGCGAACGGGUGAGUAACACGUGAGUAACCUGCCCUUGACUUUGGGAUAACUUCAGGAAACUGGGGCUAAUACCGGAUAGGAGCUCCUGCUGCAUGGUGGGGGUUGGAAAGUUUCGGCGGUUGGGGAUGGACUCGCGGCUUAUCAGCUUGUUGGUGGGGUAGUGGCUUACCAAGGCUUUGACGGGUAGCCGGCCUGAGAGGGUGACCGGCCACAUUGGGACUGAGAUACGGCCCAGACUCCUACGGGAGGCAGCAGUGGGGAAUAGUGCACAAUGGGCGGAAGCCUGAUGCAGCAACGCCGCGUGCGGGAUGACGGCCUUCGGGUUGUAAACCGCUUUCGCCUGUGACGAAGCGUGAGUGACGGUAAUGGGUAAAGAAGCACCGGCUAACUACGUG
rnacentral:rRNA from 1 species